CAGCAGCCACGGUAAUACGAAGGUCCCAAGCGUUGUUCGGAAUCACUGGGCGUAAAGGGAGCGUAGGCGGCGUGGUAAGUCAGAUGUGAAAUCCCGGGGCUCAACCCCGGAACUGCAUCCGAUACUGCCAUGCUUGAGGGUUGGAGAGGUAGCUGGAAUUCUCGGUGUAGCAGUGAAAUGCGUGGAUAUCGAGAGGAACACUCGUGGCGAAGGCGAGCUACUGGACAACAUCUGACGCUGAGGCUCGAAGGCUAGGGUAGCGAAAGGGAUUAGAUACCCCAGUAGUCCCUGUCUCUUAUAC
rnacentral:rRNA from 1 species